UAUGAACGCUGGCGGCGUGCCUAAUACAUGCAAGUCGAGCGAACAGAUAAGGAGCUUGCUCCUUUGACGUUAGCGGCGGACGGGUGAGUAACACGUGGGUAACCUACCUAUAAGACUGGGAUAACUUCGGGAAACCGGAGCUAAUACCGGAUAACAUUUGGAACCGCAUGGUUCUAAAGUGAAAGAUGGUUUUGCUAUCACUUAUAGAUGGACCCGCGCCGUAUUAGCUAGUUGGUAAGGUAACGGCUUACCAAGGCAACGAUACGUAGCCGACCUGAGAGGGUGAUCGGCCACACUGGAACUGAGACACGGUCCAGACUCCUACGGGAGGCAGCAGUAGGGAAUCUUCCGCAAUGGGCGAAAGCCUGACGGAGCAACGCCGCGUGAGUGAUGAAGGGUUUCGGCUCGUAAAACUCUGUUAUUAGGGAAGAACAAACGUGUAAGUAACUGUGCACGUCUUGACGGUACCUAAUCAGAAAGCCACGGCUAACUACGUG
rnacentral:rRNA from 1 species